ACGUUUUGAUGAAAGCCAACUUUGACCCACCUAUAUUUUGUGAGUGACGUGGUCACGAACAGUGAUGUCAUCUAUGACGUCAAACGAUCGCUUGCGACGACCACGAGCCUUAGGUUGAAGUUGAACGAUAAAAUGGGCACCGCGGGCGUUGCGGACGCUAAGUGGAACGCAGCCAUUGUAUAUUGUACACUUCCACUUUACUGUGACAUUUCUCUUUCAAAUUCCUUUGCUGACUUUGACAGGUGCGAUUGGCGUAAGUGCCAAGGAUCGGCUUCAACAUGCCUCGUGAAAUCAAAGACAUUAAGGACUUCCUGCUCAAAGCCCGCAGGAAAGACGCUAAAUCUGUCAAAAUAAAGAAGAACCCAGAAAAUGUAAAGUUCAAGGUCCGUUGCUCACGGUUCCUGUACACGCUGGUCAUUACUGACAAGGAAAAGGCAGAGAAACUUAAACAGAGUCUGCCACCAGGUCUGCAAGUGAAAGAAGUUAAGUGAUGUGACGUAGGGUUAAGAAAAUAAAAACAUUUAAAACUUACAACCUGUUUAAUUUCAAGCAAUAGUUCAUAGUAGAAGAUAAUUGUGUUUGCUGGCAAACGAAAAAAAAACGAUUUCAAUUACAUUGACAAGUAAUACAACGUAGGUAGACGAAAAAAUAGUCAAGUAAAUACGCAUUAUCAAAGAUUAUCUAUAUAGAUAUAGAUAUAUCAAAAACUUGUAAUCAGAUCUGGACGAAAUUUAAAUGUGACCACAGGAUAGACAUCAGCUUUCGAUUAAAUUAAAAAUCAUCAAAAUCGGUACAU
rnacentral:misc_RNA from 1 species